rnacentral:lncRNA from 10 species
AAACCUAGGCAGCAUAGCCAAACCCUGUCUGCACAAAAAUGUAAAAUAAAAUUAGCCAGGUAUGGUGGAGGAUGAGUCCUAGCUACUUAGGAGGCUGAGGUGUGUGGAUCACUUGAGCCAGGAGUUCAAGGCUGCAGUGAGUCAUGACAGGACAGAGGGAGACCUGUCUACUGUCUGUCCCUAUAGAAAAAGAAAAAAACAGGAUGGCCAGAGGAAAUGCAUCAAUGCAGAGGGACAGAAACAGCAGUGUGGCCUGGGAAAGAGUGAAAAUUGAGGCAGAUUCAUAAAGAAGUCUAAGAGUUUUGGGGAUGUUGGGGACUAUCAAGGUUGACAGUCUCUCCAUAUAGAAAUUCUUCCCCAGAUUCCCAGGAGAAACUUUGAAAUAAAUUACUCAA